rnacentral:misc_RNA from 1 species
AUGUGAUAUUCUCUGAUUUAGUCAGGCGGCUUUUACAUAUUUGGUCCAUGUUCAAGGGCUCAUUUCUCAGUGGGAAGUUCAACACUGUUUGCUAUUUCUUUACCUUAAACUUUAGAGAUUAUAAGAUGCCUACCUUUAACUGUUCUGCUCCUUAUUAAUCAGAAGUAUUCUCUUUUAUGUAGGUAUGUUUUCGGGAUCACGCAUG